rnacentral:sRNA from 1 species
CGAGGUCCUCAACAGACACCUGCGGCACCCGGCCAUCAGGGUCCUGCGGGCCUUCCGAGUGCCCAGCGACUUCCAUGCUCGCCACGCAGCCACGUCCCGGAUCUACCUGUACCGCCUGGCCACUGGCUGUCACCGGCGUGAUGAGCUGCCGGUGUUUGAACGCAACCUAUGCUGGGCUCUCCCGGCAGAGUGAGUGUGGCCCUGACAGUGAGCGGGGAGGGGGCAGGCAGGCAGGCCCCACCCUCCUGACGGUCACCCUGGUCCCUGAAGCUGCCUGGAUGUGGUCGCCGUUCAAGAAGCCGCGCAGCACCUCCUCGGCACACAUGACUUCAGCGCCUUCCAGUCCACUGGCAGCCCGGUGCCGAGCCCCGUGCGAACGAUGCGCCGGGUCUCCGUUUCCCCAGGCUGGGGAGCAGAAGACAGGGAAGGCUGCCUGUCUCUGAAAAAUCCCUGCCAUGCCUAACGGAAGAAUAUUGGCAGCUACUGGAAAGGUCUCACUGGUGCCAGUGGUUCUGGUGGGGUGGUUUCUGCUGCUCCCAGCACUGUCCAGAGGGCCACCCGCCAGGUGGCAGCUUCUGACCAGAACCUCCCCUGUUGGGGUGAGCCCUGAAGGGAGGAAGAACUUCUGCCAGCCCCAGACUCCGGUGGCAGAGCAGCAGGUACAGGGCUGGGGUCUCUGGCACAUGCACCAGCCAUGUUCCCAGACCCUGCACCAGGAUCCUAGGUGAGGGCCCAGGGCAAGCCCCUCUGGGACAGCCAGGCUACCUGCCCAGCCUCCAGGGUCCUGCUGCCUCCUUGCCCAAGCAUUGCUUCUCUGAUUUUAAGCCCCUCCAAUGGGCCUCACUGGGGGCAGGAGGUCAGCCAGGGCCGCUGGUGGCCGAGCUAGUGGGAACCAGGCUUGUCUGAGGCCUGCCCUGUCACUCUCCCGUCCAAGGCCACGUAGUAGGCUAGGGAUGGCAGACACUGCCCCACAGACACCUACAGGUAUGUUUUCCAGGAAGCUGCGGUUCUGGAACCUGGAGUUUGAGAGCCAGUCCUUCCUGUAUAGACAGGUGGGCUCUGUUCUGGGGCCCUCCCCAGGGGGUGGGGCUGAGCCUGGGCAGGCCCCUAUGCAGUCUUGUCUCUGGGUUACAGGUGCGGAGGAUGACGGCUGUGCUGGUGGCUGUGGGGCUGGGGGCUUUGGCACCUGCCCAGGUGAAGACGAUUCUGGAGAGCCAAGAUCCCCUGGGCAAGCACCAGACACGUGUAGCCCCAGCGCAUGGCUUAUUCCUCAAGUCAGUGCUGUAUGGGAACCUCGGUGCUGCCUCCUGCACCCUGCAGGGGCCACAGUUUGGGAGCCACGGAUGACCCUGGACACUCAGCCAAAGUUAGGCCACACCAGGCCCAACCCUGUGCUGGUCAAGCCAGGGCAGUCACAGCUGCUUGGGGCCCACAGCACUGCUGCCUGGCCUCCACAACAGUAGCCUCCCUGCCCAGAUCCCAGCACCCUGGACGCCUGUCUCUGUCCCAGGCGGGAUGGGGCACAGUGCAGGACACAGCCAUAUACACCAAGAAGAGAGUACCAAGUAGUCUUUUGUUCAGUUUUUACUGGAAACCGCUGUCUGGGAUCACCUGCCCUAACCAUUUGGGGGCCCAGAAGCAGGAAUAAAGGCAAGACAGCCCGG